rnacentral:misc_RNA from 1 species
GCCAGGAUCAAAGCCUGUAGAGCGUAGAGUAUUGUCGUCGUCGACGACUUUACCUUCGGGUGUUAGAAUCGCUAACAAGAUUUAUGAAACUGAAGAUGACAAACACUUGAAAAUAUGACCACUGCCACCGCCGCUGCAGCUACCACCAAAGCUGAAGUGACCAUGACCUCUCCGACUAACUCUCAAAAUCAAGCCCCAAGCUCUCCCUCACAAGAUCCCAAUCACAAUCAACAACAAAACCCCCCACAAUCAAAUGAUCCCGAAUCCCCUAAAACCCUAACCCUAGAAAUU